GACGAACGCUGGCGGCGUGCUUAACACAUGCAAGUCGUACGGUAAGGCCCUUUCGGGGGUACACGAGUGGCGAACGGGUGAGUAACACGUGAGUAACCUGCCCACAACUUUGGGAUAACGCUAGGAAACUGGUGCUAAUACUGGAUAUGUGCUCCUGCUGCAUGGUGGGGGUUGGAAAGCUCCGGCGGUUGUGGAUGGACUCGCGGCCUAUCAGCUUGUUGGUGGGGUAGUGGCCUACCAAGGCGGCGACGGGGAGCCGGCCUGAGAGGGUGACCGGCCACAUUGGGACUGAGAUACGGCCCAGACUCCUACGGGAGGCAGCAGUGGGGAAUAUUGCACAAUGGGCGCAAGCCUGAUGCAGCAACGCCGCGUGCGGGAUGACGGCCUUCGGGUUGUAAACCGCUUUCAGCAGGGACGAAGCUUUUUGUGACGGUACCUGCAGAAGAAGCACCGGCUAACUACGUG
rnacentral:rRNA from 1 species